rnacentral:rRNA from 1 species
UGAGCAAUCUGCCCUUCUCAUCGGAAUAAGCGUUGGAAACGACGUCUAAUGCCGAAUACGACCUCCUUUCGCAUGAUCGGAGGUGGAAAGCUCCGGCGGAGAAGGAUGAGCUCGCGGCCUAUCGGCUAGUUGGUGUGGGUAAUGGCCCACCAAGGCGACGACGGGUAGCCGGCCUGAGAGGGUGACCGGCCACACUGGGACUGAGACACGGCCCAGACUCCGUACGGGAGGCAGCG